ACAAGGUUUCCGUAGGUGAACCUGCGGAAGGAUCAUUACCGAGUGAGGGCCCUCUGGGUCCAACCUCCCACCCGUGUUUAUUUACCUUAUUGCUUCGGCGGGCCCGCCUUAACUGGCCGCCGGGGGGUUUACACCCCCGGGCCCGCGCCCGCCGAAGACACCCCGAACUCUGUCUGAAGAAUGCAGUCUGAGAACAAAUAUAAAUUAUUUAAAACUUUCAACAACGGAUCUCUUGGUUCCGGCAUCGAUGAAGAACGCAGCGAAAUGCGAUACGUAAUGUGAAUUGCAAAUUCAGUGAAUCAUCGAGUCUUUGAACGCACAUUGCGCCCCCUGGUAUUCCGGGGGGCAUGCCUGUCCGAGCGUCAUUGCUGCCCUCAAGCCCGGCUUGUGUGUUGGGUCUCGUCCUCCGAUUCUGGAGGACGGGCCCGAAAGGCAGCGGCGGCACCGCGUCCGGUCCUCGAGCGUAUGGGGCUUUGUCACCCGCUCUGUAGGCCCGGCCGGCGCUUGCCGAUCAACCCAAAUUUUUAUCCAGGUUGACCUCGGAUCAGGUAGGGAUACCCGCUGAACUUAAGCAUAUCAAUAAGCGGAGGAAAAGAAACCAACAGGGAUUGCCCCGAUAACGGCGAGUGAAGCGGCGGAGCUCAAUUUGAAAGCUGGCUCCUUCAGGGUCCGCAUUGUAUUUGUAGAGGAUGCUUCGGGAGCGGCCCCAUCUAGUGCCUGAAACAGGACGUCAUAGAGGUGAGAUCCCGCUGGAUGGGUGUCUCGCCGUGUGAGCUCAUCACGAACGAGUUGUUGGGAUGCACUCUAAUGGGUGUAAUUUCUCUAAACUAAUAUGGCGGAACAAUAGCGACAAUAGGUGACGAAGUGAAAGUUUUUAAAGAAAUUAAAAGACUGAAUUGUGAAGGAACGUUGUACAGAUCCUCCGGGUCACCGGAUCGUGCGUGAUUCCCCGGCGGCAGCUCGGUUGGCGUCGUAAAGCCUCGAAGAACGCCUAGGCUCUAAACAAGGGCAUGGGCUGCUAACUAGACGCUUCGUCGACCUGAUAUGUCUAGGACCGCUGAACGACAGACUACUUACGAUGUCGGUCACCUGCGAUGACGACGAGGGACUUCGUGCUCACGUCAACUUGAGAUAAAAGGACUUGGCCAAAGGAUACCAAGGGACAAGACUUGAGCUAGUCAUGAUUCCAU
rnacentral:sRNA from 1 species